AUGCCUGGACUACACCUGGGAGGCCUGGUCUACAUCUGGGAGGGCUUCAUCUACAACCCGGGAGGCCUUGUCUACAGGUCUACACCCUGGGAGGCAUGGUCUAGACCCCGGGAGGGCUGGUCUACAUCCCGGAGGGCUGGUCUACACCCGGAGGCCUGGUCUACACCCGGAAGGCCUGGUCUACAUCUGGCAGGCCUGGUCUACAUUCGGGAGGGCUGGUCUACACCUGGGAGGCCUGGACUACAUCCGGGAGGGCUGGUCUACACGCGGGAGGCCUGGUAUACAUCCGGGAGGGCUGCUCUACACCCGGGAGUCCUUUUCUACAUCCGGGAGGGCUUCAUCUACACCCCGGGAGGCCUGGUCUACAGGUGUACCCCCUGGGAUGCAUGGGCUAGACCCCGGGAGGCCUGGUCUACACCCGGAAGGCCUGCUCUAUAUCUGGGAGGCCUGGUCUACAUUCGGGAGGCCUGGUCUACAUCCCAGAGGGCUUGGACUACACCCUUGAGGCCUGGUCUCCUUCCCGGAGGCCUGGUCUACAUCCGGGAGGGCUGGUCUACAUCCGGGAGGCCUCGUCUAUACCCGGGAGGGCUGGCCUACAUCCAGGAGGGCUUCAUCUACACCCCGGGAGGCCUGGUCUACAGGUCUACAACCUGGGAGGCAUGGGUUAGACUUCGGGAUGGCAAGUCUACAUCCCGGAGGGUUUGGUCUACACCCGGGAGGCCUGGUCUACAACCAGGAGGCCUGGUCUACACCCGGGAGGGCUGUUCUACAUCCCAGAGGGCUUGGUCUACACCUGGCAGGCCUGGUCUGCAGGCUGUGUUUGAUCCUACAGGCAGCCUUGAGGAAGUCUCUACUGCCCCUGAACCCUGUGUGGUGCUGGGCCCUGCACUGCUCUGGGGGGCUCCCUGCACCCUGCCAGCUCCCCUCGGGCUCCCUGUGCCCUCCUCUUGCUCUGGGAGGCUCCCUGCCGGCCCCCCUCGGGCUCCCUGCAGCCUUCCCUGCUCUGAGGGUCUCCCUGCACCCUGCCGGCCUCCCCAGGCUCCCUGCACCCUGCACUGCUCUGGGGGGCUCCCUGUUACCCCUCUCGGGCUCUCAGCUCUGUUCGCCCUGUAG
rnacentral:lncRNA from 1 species